AAAUUAUAGAGCAAAUCGACAGACUACGCUGAUGACCUUGCAGACAUUUACAUACGUAAAUAUUGACAAGUGAAACUAUGGUACAUAGGUAAUCGUUUUUUAUUUCGUAUAUUUUCAUUUGUCUUGCCCUUUUUACAUUUUGGCAUUUUGCUGAAAUUUUUCUUGAGAACACACUCUUCGUGGUAAUGGCGAUUUGACGUCUGUAUUUAGCUUAUUAGGUGUCCACUGUGGUGGUCAUUCCUCUU